UAUAUCAAGAAUGUAGAGAAUGACAGAAGAUCAAUCCAUAAACUAUUUCCUUGAAGGAUCUGGGAAUGUUGUAAAGAAUGCUGAACUCCUUCGGCAUCUUGGAUACCUAGAAGUUAGGGCGGAUAAUGGUGGGUUUACCUGCCUUGAGUUUACCAAGCUCUCCAGUGUUUUGGUGGAGAGACGUAUGCCAGCUCAGAUCAGUCGACGCUUUGUUAAUUGCUUAGUUCCAAAUCAACCAGUCCAAGGCAAGUUUCUCGUGGAUCUUAUCCUCUGGGCAUUAGGAGACUUUGUAGACAUUUCAAAGUAUGUUGCGUCGUCUUUCCUUCAAAUCGUGAAUCUUUGCCUGGAAAAUGAUCUUGUUAAAGAAAGAGCUCCUCUUUACCAUGCAUAUGAACUUCUUCUCUCAAGACUGGAAAAUCAAACUAACUUUAACACAAUAAUAGCAAUACUUGUGAAAAUAACUAAGAAAAUGGACGUUGAUGAUCGAAGGGUCAAAUAUUUCCGUAAGAUCAGUAAAAAUAUCGGUCUCGGUAAUAAUGUGAGUGCUCUUCUGUGCAGGUUCCGGCAGCUUCGACCUGACCUGGAGCCAAGCUGUCCUCCUACUGUUGGAAAAAGCACAUCUAACACAAUACUCAACAAACGAUUCAGAAGAAUAUCUGAUGCUGGAGUAGAGAAGGUUCUCUCAGGUUUAGGUUGGGAGCCCGGGCAGCUGGCAACCAAUGUAAUAUUCAAGGAUAGAUUAAAGCAAACACUCCUUCCCUCGGCAGAAACUUUGAACCUUGAAGGAGGUCUACAGAGUAAACGGAAUAGGAAAAUACCUCUGCAAUGUAUUGAGUCUACUGAAGACCUGGAGAACGUAGAAUUACCGAAUAAUAUUCUCUCCGUCCUGGGUUGUAAGGCGGCGUGUAACAUAUUACCAAGAAAGGAGUUGAUAGAGAGAUUCUGCAUAGUUCUUUACCACACGCUCAGUAAAGAAUUCUCGUCACUUCCAACUCCGCGGAGUAAAAGUGAGAGGGAGAGAAGGAAUAAACGCCAGAGGAGAUUUCUUAAAAUACUCAUGGAGUUCCAAAUUCACUGUUUCCAUGGAAUCCCUGUAGUAGGAAGAUUCUUGCACGAGUUCUUGAUUGACUGGGAUGGUGAACAGUUCUUUGAUGAGAUUCUUGGUUUGAUCAAGGUCUGUCAGAUAACUGAAUUCAAGGAGAUAUAUGAUACUAUUCUCUCACAAGUUGAACAACACUUUCACGUAUACACGCUUAUAGAUAAGUUGCUAGUGUUGGACGCGUACUUCGAGUUGUUAAAGUUCUGGUCCGCCGUAGAGUACAAGAGAAUAAUAGAGAUGAAGGAUGGUCUCUUCCUAGACUCCAGUACUAACUGUGAGAACCCACUCUCGUCAAUCAUAGAUCUCUCUGCACACAUCGGAGAACUAGCGGAGACUGCUCUCGCCUCUGCCCGCUCGGAGCAUUCUCCGGACCAGGGCUUUUUCUCUCAUUUCAUCACGGAGAAGUAUAUCGUUGCCCAGGAGGUUAUGCUGAGGUUUGAGGUAGCUGUGAGGUUGAUUCUACCCCAACCAUUCUAUCAUGAGGCACUCUUCUCCUUCUCCUACCUCUCUAUUUCCCAGGUGGCAAAGUAUGUUUUAACCCAGAAGAAGCGAGUUAUUCCUCUUUUGAAAGAGAGAGGUGCGUACCUAGAAACCAUGGGAGAUUCUAAAUCUGCGAAGAUCAUCAGAAAUCAGCUCAGUUUGGAUCAGCUGAUCCGAGGAUUUGAUUCUAGUAUUGCGGAUAUGUUGCUAGUUCUUAGUCCUACCUCGGUCUACCAGAGAUCAGAUUCAUUGCUCAGGAUGGGUUGGACAGUUGACGAGGAUUAUAUUCUUGACAGACUUUUCAUCUCUAAACAUCCCGCAUUUCUUUCCCUUACCAUUAAAUAUUUCUCAGAGCUAGGGUUGAACAAAUCUGAGGUUCAGGAUAUUUGGAAAGGACUCACCGUGGAUAGAAUUGUGAGUGAAAACUCGGAUGACAACUGUUUCUAUUCGGAGUUUAAUCAGAGUAAGACACCUAAUACAUUCUACAAAAGCAAGGCUUCAAACAUGGUUGCAGUAUCUAACCCUCACCUGGACCAGUUUCUCAACUAUAUCACGGAGAAUGUUUCGGUUGUUGGAGAGUUCAUCCAGGUUUUCUGUCAACCUCCGAAGCUUGCAACGUCAGUUAUUACCACAGCUACGAAGGACAGUGGAGUCUCCUCCUACCAACCGAGCAAGGCGAAGAAAAAUCAUGUUUUGAAGAGUAAAAGGACAGAUGAGAACAGGCGAUCAUCCCCCAGAGUGACCGUUGCUCGAAAUAAUGAAAAAAGAAAAAGUGAUACAAACCCGAAUAAUUUAUGUAAACGCACGGUUUUCACAAAGUUCGGGACAUAAAGAAAAUCACAGAUUAUUUUGUUGAAAAGGAUAUUUUUGACGUUUUUAAACGUUUUAUGCUUUGCAUGUUACGCCAUGAAUUAUGAUUAAAUUGCUUUUGUUUGUACCGUCCGACGUUUGUGGGUCCGACGUUUGUACUGGUACCAUUAUAUAUAUAUAUAUAUAUAUACAUUUAGAAAAGAUAUAUUUAAUUCUUCUACUAUAUCGCAAAAAUUUCUUGUUACAG
rnacentral:misc_RNA from 1 species